AGUGAACGCUGGCGGUAGGCCUAACACAUGCAAGUCGAACGGCAGCACAGGAGAGCUUGCUCUCUGGGUGGCGAGUGGCGGACGGGUGAGGAAUACAUCGGAAUCUACUUGUUCGUGGGGGAUAACGUAGGGAAACUUACGCUAAUACCGCCUACGACCUACGGGUGAAAGCAGGGGAUCUUCGGACCUUGCGCGCUGGAAUGAGCCGAUGUCGGAUUAGCAAGUUGGCGGGGUAAAGACCCACCAAGGCGACGAUCCGUAGCUGGUCAGAGAGGAUGAACAGCAACACUGGAACUGAGACACGGUCCAGACUCCUACGGGAGGCAGCAGUGGGGAAUAUUGGACAAUGGGCGCAAGCCUGAUCCAGCCAUACCGCGUGGGGGAAGAAGGCCUUCGGGUUGUAAAGCCCUUUUGUUGGGAAAGAAAUCCAGCUGGUUAAUACCCGGUUGGGAUGACGGUACCCAAAGAAUAAGCACCGGCUAACUUCGUGCCAGCAGCCGCGGUAA
rnacentral:rRNA from 1 species